AUCUUUAUGCAGGGGCAUUACGUGUAUCAGUGAGGAUUCGUCCGAGAUCAUGUUUUUGCUGGUUGAAAACUAUAACCUGACAGCUCCUUAUUAUUAUGGCUUUAUGCUUUUGAUAUUAAGGGAAUUUUUGGAAUUCUUCUUUUAGA
rnacentral:snRNA from 14 species